rnacentral:rRNA from 1 species
UAGCUACAGGCUUAACACAUGCAAGUCGAGGGGAAACGACAUCGAAAGCUUGCUUUUGAUGGGCGUCGACCGGCGCACGGGUGAGUAACGCGUAUCCAACCUGCCCACCACUUGGGGAUAACCUUGCGAAAGUAAGACUAAUACCCAAUGACGUCUCUAGAAGACAUCUGAAAGAGAUUAAAGAUUUAUCGGUGAUGGAUGGGGAUGCGUCUGAUUAGCUUGUUGGCGGGGUAACAGCCCACCAAGGCGACGAUCAGUAGGGGUUCUGAGAGGAAGGUCCCCCACAUUGGAACUGAGACACGGUCCAAACUCCUACGGGAGGCAGCAGUGAGGAAUAUUGGUCAAUGGACGAGAGUCUGAACCAGCCAAGUAGCGUGCAGGAUGACGGCCCUAUGGGUUGUAAACUGCUUUUAUAAGGGAAUAAAGUGAGUCUCGUGAGACUUUUUGCAUGUACCUUAUGAAUAAGGACCGGCUAAUUCCGUGCCAGCAAGCCGCGGUAAUACGGAAGGUCCGGGCGUUAUCCGGAUUUAUUGGGUUUAAAGGGAGCGUAGGCCGGUGAUUAAGCGUGUUGUGAAAUGUAGACGCUCAACGUCUGCACUGCAGCGCGAACUGGUUUCCUUGAGUACGCACAAAGUGGGCGGAAUUCGUGGUGUAGCGGUGAAAUGCUUAGAUAUCACGAAGAACUCCGAUUGCGAAGGCAGCUCACUGGAGCGCAACUGACGCUGAAGCUCGAAAGUGCGGGUAUCGAACAGGAUUAGAUACCCUGGUAGUCCGCACGGUAAACGAUGGAUGCCCGCUGUUGGUCUGAAUAGGUCAGCGGCCAAGCGAAAGCAUUAAGCAUCCCACCUGGGGAGUACGCCGGCAACGGUGAAACUCAAAGGAAUUGACGGGGGCCCGCACAAGCGGAGGAACAUGUGGUUUAAUUCGAUGAUACGCGAGGAACCUUACCCGGGCUUGAAUUGCAGAGGAAGGAUUUGGAGACAAUGACGCCCUUCGGGGCCUCUGUGAAGGUGCUGCAUGGUUGUCGUCAGCUCGUGCCGUGAGGUGUCGGCUUAAGUGCCAUAACGAGCGCAACCCCUCUCCUUAGUUGCCAUCAGGUCAAGCUGGGCACUCUGGGGACACUGCCACCGUAAGGUGUGAGGAAGGUGGGGAUGACGUCAAAUCAGCAC